ACGAACGCUGGCGGCGUGCCUCAUACAUGCAAGUAGAACGCUGAAGAGAGGAGCUUGCUCUUCUUGGAUGAGUUGCGAACGGGUGAGUAACGCGUAGGUAACCUGCCUUGUAGCGGGGGAUAACUAUUGGAAACGAUAGCUAAUACCGCAUAACAAUGGAUGACACAUGUCAUUUAUUUGAAAGGGGCAAUUGCUCCACUACAAGAUGGACCUGCGUUGUAUUAGCUAGUAGGUGAGGUAAUGGCUCACCUAGGCGACGAUACAUAGCCGACCUGAGAGGGUGAUCGGCCACACUGGGACUGAGACACGGCCCAGACUCCUACGGGAGGCAGCAGUAGGGAAUCUUCGGCAACGGGGGCAACCCUGACCGAGCAACGCCGCGUGAGUGAAGAAGGUUUUCGGAUCGUAAAGCUCUGUUGUAAGUCAAGAACGGGUGUGAGAGUGGAAAGUUCACACUGUGACGGUAGCUUACCAGAAAGGGACGGCUAACUACGUG
rnacentral:rRNA from 1 species